UACGUAGGGGGCAAGCGUUGUCCGGAUUUAUUGGGCGUAAAGAGCGUGUAGGCGGUCAGGUAGGUCGGUUGUGAAAACUGGAGGCUCAACCUUCAGAGGUCGACCGAAACCCCCUGGCUAGAGUCCGGGAGAGGAGAGUGGAAUUCCUGGUGUAGCGGUGAAAUGCGCAGAUAUCAGGAAGAACACCCGUGGCGAAAGCGGCUCUCUGGAACGGUACUGACGCUGAGGCACGAAAGCGUGGGUAGCAAACAGG
rnacentral:rRNA from 1 species